GGGGAAUAUUGCACAAUGGGCGAAAGCCUGAUGCAGCGACGCCGCGUGAGCGAAGAAGUAUUUCGGUAUGUAAAGCUCUAUCAGCAGGGAAGAUAAUGACGGUACUCAACAAGGAAGUGACGGCUAACUACGUGCCAGCAGCCGCGGUAAAACGUAGGUCACAAGCGUUGUCCGGAAUUACUGGGUGUAAAGGGAGCGCAGGCGGGAAGACAAGUUGGAAGUGAAAUCUAUGGGCUCAACCCAUAAACUGCUUUCAAAACUGUUUUUCUUGAGUAGUGCAGAGGUAGGCGGAAUUCCCGGUGUAGCGGUGGAAUGCGUAGAUAUCGGGAGGAACACCAGUGGCGAAGGCGGCCUACUGGGCACCAACUGACGCUGAGGCUCGAAAGUGUGGGUAGCAAACAGGAUUAGAUACCCUGGUAGUCCACACCGUAAACGAUGAUUACUAGGUGUUGGAGGAUUGACCCCUUCAGUGCCGCAGUUAACACAAUAAGUAAUCCACCUGGGGAGUACGACCGCAAGGUUGAAACUCAAAGGAAUUGACGGGGGCCCGCACAAGCAGUGGAGUAUGUGGUUUAAUUCGACGCAACGCGAAGAACCUUACCAAGUCUUGACAUCCUGCGACGGACAUAGAAAUAUGUUUUUCCUUCGGGACGCAGAGACAGGUGGUGCAUGGUUGUCGUCAGCUCGUGUCGUGAGAUGUUGGGUUAAGUCCCGCAACGAGCGCAACCCUUACUGUCAGUUACUACGCAAGAGGACUCUGGCAGGACUGCCGUUGACAAAACGGAGGAAGGUGGGGAUGACGUCAAAUCAUCAUGCCCUUUAUGACUUGGGCUACACACGUACUACAAUGGCGUUAAACAAAGAGAAGCAAGACCGCGAGGUGGAGCAAAACUCAGAAACAACGUCCCAGUUCGGACUGCAGGCUGCAACUCGCCUGCACGAAGUCGGAAUUGCUAGUAAUCGUGGAUCAGCAUGCCACGGUGAAUACGUUCCCG
rnacentral:rRNA from 1 species